AACGAACGCUGGCGGCAGGCUUAACACAUGCAAGUCGAGCGCCCCGCAAGGGGAGCGGCAGACGGGUGAGUAACGCGUGGGAACGUACCUUUUGGUUCGGAACAACUCCGGGAAACUGGAGCUAAUACCGGAUAAGCCCUAACGGGGAAAGAUUUAUCGCCGAAAGAUCGGCCCGCGUCUGAUUAGCUAGUUGGUGAGGUAACGGCUCACCAAGGCGACGAUCAGUAGCUGGUCUGAGAGGAUGAUCAGCCACACUGGGACUGAGACACGGCCCAGACUCCUACGGGAGGCAGCAGUGGGGAAUAUUGGACAAUGGGCGCAAGCCUGAUCCAGCCAUGCCGCGUGAGUGAUGAAGGCCUUAGGGUUGUAAAGCUCCUUUGUCCGGGAAGAUAAUGACUGUACCGGAAGAAUAAGCCCCGGCUAACUUCGUG
rnacentral:rRNA from 1 species